AUGGCGGACGGCAGCGGUCGAGUCGCCAAGAGCGGGGGGAGUGGAGCGGGGAAGGGGGCCGUGCGGAACAGGUAAUUGCUGGCUUCAAUCGCCUUCGGCAAGAGCAACGGGGCCUGGCUUCCAAAGCAGCUGAGCUAGAGAUGGAGCUGAAUGAGCACAGCCUAGUGAUUGAUACACUGAAAGAAGUCGAUGAAACUCGAAAGUGCUUCCGUACGGUUGGAGGUGUGCUGGUAGAGCGGACUGUCAAAGAGGUGCUGCCUGCCUUGGAGAAUAACAAGGAACAGAUACAGAAGAUCAUUGAGACAUUGUCACAGCAACUUCAGGCAAAGGGAAAAGAACUAAAUGAAUUCCGGGAAAAGCACAACAUUCGU